CCUACGGGAGGCAGCAGUGAGGAAUAUUGGUCAAUGGCCGUAAGGCUGAACCAGCCAAGUCGCGUGAAGGAAGACGGAUCUAUGGUUUGUAAACUUCUUUUAUAGGGGAAUAAAGGUAUCCACGUGUGGAUAUUUGCAUGUACCCUAUGAAUAAGCAUCGGCUAACUCCGUGCCAGCAGCCGCGGUAAUACGGAGGAUGCGAGCGUUAUCCGGAUUUAUUGGGUUUAAAGGGUGCGUAGGUUGUUUUUUAAGUCAGUGGUGAAAGUUUGUGGCUCAACCGUAAAAUUGCCGUUGAAACUGGAAGUCUUGAGUAUGUUAGAGGUAGGUGGAAUGCGUGGUGUAGCGGUGAAAUGCAUAGAUAUCACGAAGAACUCCGAUUGCGAAGGCAGCUUACUAGGCCAUAACUGACACUGAGGCUCGAAAGCGUGGGGAUCAAACAGGAUUAGAUACCCGAGUAGUC
rnacentral:rRNA from 1 species